GCCCCAUUGGCCUAAUGGUUAAGGCGUCUGACUGUGAAUCAGAAGAUCGCGGGUUCAAAUCCCGCAUGGGGUU